rnacentral:rRNA from 1 species
UACGUAGGGUGCGAGCGUUGUCCGGAAUUAUUGGGCGUAAAGGGCUCGUAGGCGGUUUGUCGCGUCGGGAGUGAAAUCCACUGGCUUAACUGGUGGCUUGCUUUCGAUACGGGCAGACUGGAGGUAUGCAGGGGAGAACGGAAUUCCUGGUGUAGCGGUGAAAUGCGCAGAUAUCUGGAGGAACACCGGUGGCGAAGGCGGCAUCCUGGACCAACACUGACACUGAGGAGCGAAAGCCAGGGGAGCAAACGGG